GGCUAAGAUAAGGCGUGCGCUCAGUGUGCGAGAGAGCGAGAGAAAGGAGAGUGGAGAGAGAGAGUUUGUGUGUGACAGAGAGAAGGGGAGAGAGGACAUCACAAAAAUGGAGGUCACAUAAAGAGCAGAAAGAAAAAAAUAUGAUGCACUGACUAUGCUCACCAGAAGAGGGCGGCAGAUUCUAACAUGUCUUACAAAAUGGACUCCUCUGGCCCCAAACAAGGAUUCAUCUGUGAAAGGUCAAACAGUGGACUUCUCUGUAACGCAGCUAACACAGAGAUCUGAAGGAGGCCUACACAUGCAGCAUGUUGGCUAUUCACCUAAAAAUGAUCAACUAUCCCCAUUAAGAUACACUUGCUAACACUCUCCUGCUUACAUACACUGGUUCAGUGUUAAAAUGUGGUCUCAGAUAGGAUUAGGUGUGAUUCUAUCCGUCCUCACCUUGCUAACAGUGUGUGGAAACGUGCUAGUGUGUCUAGCUGUCUGCGCAACCAGACGCCUACGCAGUGUCACCAACUGCUUCAUCGUGUCACUCGCCAUUACUGACCUGCUACUAGGAGCCCUAGUCCUCCCUUUCUCCACUCUCAUUGAGGUGACUGGUGAUUGGCCACUGGGAGCUCACUUUUGCAAUGUCUACAUUUCAAUGGAUGUCAUGCUGAGCACUGCUUCUAUUCUUAACCUCCUGGCCAUUAGCAUAGAUCGCUACAUUGCAGUCACGGUGCCUUUACGUUACCCUACACUGGUGCUGCCAUGGCAUGUUGGUACGUCAUUAGCAGUGAUCUGGCUGGUGUCCAUUGGUGUCUCGUUUGUUCCUAUUCACCUGGGCUGGAAUACGGUGGACCAAACGGUGCAGAAUCACGGUAAGGACGACCCUGCGGGAGACUGUCGCUUUGAGCUAAAUCCCACGUAUGUACUAGUGGAUUCAUUAGCGACCUUUUAUCUCCCCCUGGUGGCAAUGUGCUGGACUUAUUACCGAGUGUUCCGCAUUGCACGGGCCCAGGCAAAGAGAAUCCUUUCCACACAUCGAGCUUGCUCUUCAACACCCAUGUCUUCGUUACCAGGAGUGUCAGUGAUAGCACUACGUGAACACAAAGCUGCAGUGAGAUUAGCAGUUGUGCUGGGUGCCUUCGUAGUCUGCUGGUUUCCAUAUUUUACAUUUUUCACCAUUAUGGGGAUACGAAAAGAGACAGAUCCUCCACGCACAGCAUAUUCAGUGGUGCUGUGGCUAGGCUAUGUUAACUCCACGCUAAACCCGUUCCUUUAUGCCGCGCUCAACAGGGACUUUAGGUCUGCUUAUGUAAGGCUGUUGUGUGGCUGGAGGGGCGUUAACACACCAACAGGAACGCCUACUACUAUGUUAGAGGCUGGGCUGUUGAAUGGACUCACCCCUUCCAGCAGCAGGGCAGAGUUUCUACCUGGAGCCUGUGUCAUGCUACAGGACAUGAGCAAUGAAAAUGGGGACAGGAGCAAUGGGACAUCUCUCAGCAUUGUCACUGUCCUGUCCAAUGGCCACAACAGGUAUUGGAGACGCAAAACUAACGGACAGGGACCACUUUAUAAAUGUAUUUAAUUUUACUCAAUGAAUACACUGUUGAUGUUCAAUCAUCUCUCUAUCCCUGUUUAUUUCUCUCUACUAGAUCAUAAUACUUUGAACAAAUCUGGAUGCUGUCUCUAUUUCCUUAAAAUAACCCCAAUCUAAGCUUCACCCCAGUUUCUAACAGUCCUCCAGUGUGAUGCAGUAGGGGUUGUCAGCCACAGUCUGAUGAAACAUUUGGUCUUCUGAGAGCUCUGAGGAGAGAAAAGCUCUGAAGAAAGAUUGAAAGAUUGUGUAUUGAGAUUUUUUUUUUUCAACUAGUACUAGACUAGUUGAAAAAAAAAAAAAGAAUAAUGGAAAAGGGGGAGAAAAGCUACUUGAAAAAAGCACAUCUGACCACCAACAGACAAGGCCUGGUUGACGGAGGCUACAAUGAUACAGACUGUAAGAAGUGAACAGAAAGCAUUCUGUGCUACAUGGUGCCCUCUACAGGUCAGUGGAGGAACUACAAGAAAAAUGUGAAUACUGUACAAAAACUGAAAACUUCCACUGUUUCUUUUUAUUUGCUGUAAACUAAUAGGUGGAAAAUCUGUAGAGAAACCAUUAUAUAUAAACUUUCAAGGUUAAAAACAAAUUGUAAGAUAGUACUGUGUAAAGAUAACAGUGAAUAGUAAAAUAUUCAAUAAAACCUUCAAUCAAAUCAUAAUCUGCCUUUGCCGUUUAAACUGUGCACAUUUUCUUAGGUGCACUGCUGUGCAGUUUUCUGAGGAACAAAAAUGUGAAUACAAAAAAUAUGAACAAUAACAGUGUUUUUUAUUAUUAUUGUAUUAUGUGGUCUUAACUAGUACUGCAUUUGUAGCACAUAUAUUUUUUUACAGUUAUAUAGUACUGUGCAAAGCAAAGAUUAAAACAAUGUAAAACAAUCAUUAAAAUAUUAAAUCAAAUGACGCUUUCAUGUUUUUAUGAGACAUGUGGUCUGUUACUGAAUAUUGUUAAUUACUUUUUUUUUUUAAUAAUUUAAAAAAAUCUGUAAAAGAUUUUUUGAAAAAUUUAACAUUUGGAUUUUUUUCACUGAUUUUUUCACUCAUUUUUUUACUGAUCUCCACAGAUCAGUAAAGCAGUAGACGUAAAAAUGUAGGGGGCAUAAACUUUUGCACAGUACUGUAUAUAUUCAAAAUAUGUAUUUGAAAUAUAAAAUAUGUACUUGAUAAUUGUAGCAAAGUUAUCAAAAUGCUUUUAUGUUCUGUGUAUUUUACAUUUUCAAAAUACAGAUAUUAUGUGAUGGUGUGUGAUACUUUUUGCUAGCUGGCUAGCUGACUAGCUGGAUGGAACUAGCAAGGAAAGUUGCUAAGUUAAACUCUGUUAAGCUGUAGAUGAAAGACAACAGGAGAAAAUGUAAAGAGCAGGUUAACAUUUAUGAUACAGUAAUACUUUAGACAGCAUCAAAACAUUGUAAUUGAUUAACACUUUAUAAUUCAUCAGACCACCAGUGUAGUUUCUGAAGACUAGCUAGCAUCAGAAUGCUAGCAUUAUCAUUACAGACUAAAGUGGCUCCAAUAAUCUCAUGCCACUCUUAUAAAAUGUAUUUUUGUAUUUUCAAACUACGAAAUAAUAUUUUUCAUUUUCUUUGUUGCAGUGUUUUGCAGGGUUUUUUGUUUUUGUUUUUGUUUUUGUUUUUUACAUAUUUGCAUCUGAGGUGUUUGUGGUAUUUUACUGUAGCCCUGGUAUUGACCGUAAGACAACAAAAAAAUUUGCGAAGUGGAAGAAACACAUGUUCUGUUAAAGCAUUUUGAUAGAAAAUUUCACAUUUCACAUUUCACAUUUUCUGUGGAAGUUGUUCAGCUUUUGGAAAGUUGCAAAUCCAUUUUUUUUUCUCUCAGUGGCACAUUGACAUCUCCAUCCCAUUCCAUUAUAUCUGUUCAUGUUUUUUUUCCUACCUCACUGCCUCACACCUCUCUCCCUUUCUCUCCAUCUCUCUCUGUGUGAUGACCCACCCAACAUUAAAACCAUUCAUCACUGCCUCUUUACCAUCAAAUUAUCAAAGACUAGCACACACACACAAACACACGCACACACACACACACACACACACGCACACACACACACACACACAGAGACAUUCUUCAAUAACACAGAUAUUUAAUGGGCUCUCCAAAGCUAUCCAUCAUCACCAUUUGUCAUCAAAAUAUCAAGAAAAUAAAUGUGGUGGAUGCAGACACGCGCAGGACACACAGCUACACACAAGCACACACACACACAUGCACACAUGCACACACACACACACACACACACGUAUAUACAAAUACUAAUUCCAGUGAGUCUUGCCCUCAGGUGAUAUUCUCCAACAAAAAAGUUGGAGGAAGAAAGGGGGAGAUAAUGAAAGGACAGUGGAAAUGGUGUGUGAGGGAAAAAAACAGAGCAGAACUGGAAGAAAGGAUCAGAAAGAGAGACAAUCACUGUAUUGUAAGGUAGCAAUCAGGGAAUGUGAGCAGGGGGAAAAGACAUGCAUGCACUUAAAUCACUGAUUACAAAGAAGAGUGAAAGAAAAGUGUCCAUUUGAGUACUCAUAUACAGAUUUUCUACUGAUUGCAGUCACUUCCUGAAUUAAACUGCACCAACAAAAGCAGCCACAUUGAAGACUUCACUGUUUAUUUCUCUCAUG